rnacentral:rRNA from 1 species
AGAGUUUGAUCAUGGCUCAGAUUGAACGCUGGCGGCAGGCCUAACACAUGCAAGUCGAACGGUAACAGGAAGAAGCUUGCUUCUUUGCUGACGAGUGGCGGACGGGUGAGUAAUGUCUGGGAAACUGCCUGAUGGAGGGGGAUAACUACUGGAAACGGUAGCUAAUACCGCAUAACGUCGCAAGACCAAAGAGGGGGACCUUCGGGCCUCUUGCCAUCGGAUGUGCCCAGAUGGGAUUAGCUAGUAGGUGGGGUAACGGCUCACCUAGGCGACGAUCCCUAGCUGGUCUGAGAGGAUGACCAGCCACACUGGAACUGAGACACGGUCCAGACUCCUACGGGAGGCAGCAGUGGGGAAUAUUGCACAAUGGGCGCAAGCCUGAUGCAGCCAUGCCGCGUGUAUGAAGAAGGCCUUCGGGUUGUAAAGUACUUUCAGCGGGGAGGAAGGGAGUAAAGUUAAUACCUUUGCUCAUUGACGUUACCCGCAGAAGAAGCACCGGCUAACUCCGUGCCAGCAGCCGCGGUAAUACGGAGGGUGCAAGCGUUAAUCGGAAUUACUGGGCGUAAAGCGCACGCAGGCGGUUUGUUAAGUCAGAUGUGAAAUCCCCGGGCUCAACCUGGGAACUGCAUCUGAUACUGGCAAGCUUGAGUCUCGUAGAGGGGGGUAGAAUUCCAGGUGUAGCGGUGAAAUGCGUAGAGAUCUGGAGGAAUACCGGUGGCGAAGGCGGCCCCCUGGACGAAGACUGACGCUCAGGUGCGAAAGCGUGGGGAGCAAAUAGGAUUAGAUACCCUGGUAGUCCACGCCGUAAACGAUGUCGACUUGGAGGUUGUGCCCUUGAGGCGUGGCUUCCGGAGCUAACGCGUUAAGUCGACCGCCUGGGGAGUACGGCCGCAAGGUUAAAACUCAAAUGAAUUGACGGGGGCCCGCACAAGCGGUGGAGCAUGUGGUUUAAUUCGAUGCAACGCGAAGAACCUUACCUGGUCUUGACAUCCACGGAAGUUUUCAGAGAUGAGAAUGUGCCUUCGGGAACCGUGAGACAGGUGCUGCAUGGCUGUCGUCAGCUCGUGUUGUGAAAUGUUGGGUUAAGUCCCGCAACGAGCGCAACCCUUAUCCUUUGUUGCCAGCGGUCCGGCCGGGAACUCAAAGGAGACUGCCAGUGAUAAACUGGAGGAAGGUGGGGAUGACGUCAAGUCAUCAUGGCCCUUACGACCAGGGCUACACACGUGCUACAAUGGCGCAUACAAAGAGAAGCGACCUCGCGAGAGCAAGCGGACCUCAUAAAGUGCGUCGUAGUCCGGAUUGGAGUCUGCAACUCGACUCCAUGAAGUCGGAAUCGCUAGUAAUCGUGGAUCAGAAUGCCACGGUGAAUACGUUCCCGGGCCUUGUACACACCGCCCGUCACACCAUGGGAGUGGGUUGCAAAAGAAGUAGGUAGCUUAACCUUCGGGAGGGCGCUUACCACUUUGUGAUUCAUGACUGGGGUGAAGUCGUAACAAGGUAACCGUAGGGGAACCUGCGGUUG